AUUGAACGCUAGCGGCAUGCCUUACACAUGCAAGUCGAACGAGUGGCGGACGGGUGAGUAAUGUAUGGGAAAGUGCCUGGUGGCGGGGGAUAACUACUGGAAACGGUAGCUAAUACCGCAUACCCUUGGAUGUGCCCAGAUGGGAUUAGCUAGUUGGUGGGGUAACGGAUCACCAAGGCAACGAUCCCUAGCUGGUCGGAGAGGAUGACCAGCCACAAUGGAACUGAGAGACGGUCCAUAGUCAGACGGGACGCAGCAGUGGGGAAUUUUGCACAAUGGGCACAAGCCUGAUUCAGCCAUGCCGCGUGUAUGAAGAAGGCCUUCGGGUUGUAAAGUACUUUCAGCGUGGAGGCGUUACCCGCAGAAGAAGCACCGGCUAACUCCGUGCCAGCAGCCGCGGUAAUUC
rnacentral:rRNA from 1 species